GCACCUAUGGAGCAGAAGUUUAGCUCAUUCUACUCCCAAUUCGCCCUCAUGGCGUAGUAGGAAAUAGAAAGACCCGGGUGCGAAUCCCGGUGGGUGCA